rnacentral:tRNA from 1 species
AGAUAGGAUGGCUGAUUAAGGCUGGGAAUUGUAAAUUCUUAUAUGAGAAAUUUCUCUCUUAUU